UACGGGGGGGCAAGCGUUGUUCGGAAUUACUGGGCGUAAAGGGCUCGUCGGCGGCCAACUAAGUCAGACGUGAAAUCCCCAGGCUUAACCUGGGAACUGCGUCCGAUACUGGCGAGGCUUGAAUUCGGGAGAGGGAUGUGGAAUUCCAGGUGUAGCGGUGAAAUGCGUAGAUAUCUGGAGGAACACCGGUGGCGAAGGCGGCAUCCUGGACCGAGAUUGACGCUGAGGCGCGAAAGCUAGGGUAGCAAACGGG
rnacentral:rRNA from 1 species